GACGAACCGUGCGAACGUUGUUCGGAAUCACUGGGCUUAAAGGGCGCGUAGGCGGGCUCACAAGUCAGGGGUGAAAUCCCACGGCUCAACCGUGGAAGUGCCUUUGAUACUGUGGGUCUUGAGGGAGGUAGGGGCGUGCGGAACUUCCGGUGGAGCGGUGAAAUGCGUAGAUAUCGGAAGGAACACCGGUGGCGAAAGCGGCGCGCUGGACCUCUACUGACGCUGAGGCGCGAAAGCCAGGGGAGCAAAGCGGGAU
rnacentral:rRNA from 1 species